CCUACGGGAGGCAGCAGUGGGGAAUAUUGCACAAUGGGCGAAAGCCUGAUGCAGCGACGCCGCGUGAGGGAUGAAGGCCUUCGGGUUGUAAACCUCUUUCAGCAGGGAAGAAGCGAAAGUGACGGUACCUGCAGAAGAAGCGCCGGCUAACUACGUGCCAGCAGCCGCGGUAA
rnacentral:rRNA from 1 species